rnacentral:rRNA from 1 species
CUCCCAGACUCCUACGGGAGGCAGCAGUGGGGGAUAUUGCACAAUGGGGGGAACCCUGAUGCAGCGACGCCGCGUGGGUGAAGGAGUAUUUCGGUAUGUAAAGCCCUAUCGGCAGGGAAGAAGCAAGACGGUACCUGACUAAGAAGCCCCGGCUAACUACGUGCCAGCAGCCGCGGUAAUACGUAGGGGGCGAGCGUUAUCCGGAAUUACUGGGUGUAAAGGGAGCGUAGACGGCGAGGUAAGCCUGAAGUGGAAGCCCGCGGCCCAACCGCGGAACUGCUUUGGGAACUGUUUUGCUGGAGUAUGGGAGGGGUAAGCGGAAUUCCUGGUGUAGCGGUGAAAUGCGUAGAUAUCAGGAGGAACACCGGUGGCGAAGGCGGCUUACUGGACCAUAACUGACGUUGAGGCUCGAAAGCGUGGGGAGCAAACAGGAUUAGAUACCCCGGUA